GUUGAGCCAGUGCAGGUUCAGGAAACUGUGGAAAAUCACUUGAAGAGUUUGCUGAUCAAACAUUUUGACCCCCGCAAAGCAGAUUCUAUUUUUACUGAAGAAGGAGAGACCCCAGCGUGGCUGGAACAGAUGAUUGCACAUACCACGUGGCGGGACCUUUUUUAUAAACUGGCUGAAGCCCAUCCAGACUGUUUGAUGCUGAACUUCACCGUUAAGCUUAUUUCUGACGCAGGGUACCAGGGGGAGAUCACCAGUGUGUCCACAGCAUGCCAGCAGCUAGAAGUGUUCUCGAGAGUGCUCCGGACCUCUCUAGCUACAAUUUUAGAUGGAGGAGAAGAAAACCUUGAAAAAAAUCUCCCUGAGUUUGCCAAGAUGGUGUGCCACGGGGAGCACACGUACCUGUUUGCCCAGGCCAUGAUGUCCGUGCUGGCCCAGGAGGAGCAGGGGGGCUCCGCUGUGCGCAGGAUCGCCCAGGAAGUGCAGCGCUUUGCCCAGGAGAAGUGAGAGGCCCUGUUUCUGCUCAACCCUUCCUUCCUAGUGCUCCCCACAAAACCCUUCCCAUGGCCCGUGUUCCACAGCCAAAGCUGCUAGCUCCUUCUGUUCAACGUAGAGGUAAACUUGCUUUUGGCUGGGCGUGGUGGCUCACGCCUGUAAUCCCAGCACUUUGGGAGGCCGAGGCGGAUGGAUCACCUAAGGUCAGGAGUUUGAGACCAGCUUGACCAACAUGGAGAAACCCCAUCUCUAAGGUCAUGACGCCAGUCAGAUCACACUAGCCUUGGGCACAGCUGCCUCCUACCCCAGGGCCUGCCAGGCUCUCGGGGCCAUGCUGUCCAAAGGAGCCCUGAACCCUGCUGACAUCACCGUCCUGUUCAAGAUGUUCACAAGCAUGGACCCUCCUCCGGUUGAACUCAUCCGCGUUCCAGCCUUCCUGGACCUGUUCAUGCAGUCACUCUUUAAGCCAGGGGCUCGGAUCAACCAGGACCACAAGCACAAAUACAUCCACAUCUUGGCGUACGCAGCAAGCGUGGUUGAGACCUGGAAGAAGAACAAGCGAGUGAGCAUCAAUAAAGAUGAGCUGAAGUCAACGUCAAAAGCUGUCGAAACCGUUCACAAUUUGUGUUGCAACGAGAACAAAGGGGCCUCUGAACUAGUGGCAGAAUUGAGCACACUUUAUCAGUGUAUUAGGUUUCCAGUGGUAGCAAUGGGUGUGCUGAAGUGGGUGGAUUGGACUGUAUCGGAACCAAGGUACUUUCAGCUGCAGACUGACCAUACCCCUGUCCACCUGGCGUUGCUGGAUGAGAUCAGCACCUGCCACCAGCUCCUGCACCCCCAGGUCCUGCAGCUGCUUGUUAAGCUUUUUGAGACUGAGCACUCCCAGCUGGACGUGAUGGAGCAGGUGAGCAGUGCCCGUGGGGCUUGCCAGAGGGCUGAGGAGGACCCUCUCUAACCAGCUCCCUGUCCCCCUUCUUCUGUAGCUUGAGUUGAAGAAGACACUGCUGGACAGGAUGGUUCACCUGCUGAGUCGAGGUGCUGGACGUCAUUGCUCCUCCUUACACCUCUGACUUCGUGCAACUUUUCCUCCCCAUCCUGGAGAAUGACAGCAUCGCAGGUACCAUCAAAACGGAAGGCGAGCAUGACCCUGUGACGGAGUUUAUAGCUCACUGCAAAUCUAACUUCAUCAUGGUGAACUAAUUUAGAGCAUCCUCCAGAGCUGAAGCAGAACAUUCCAGAACCCGUUGUGGAAAAACCCUUUCAAGAAGCUGUUUUAAGAGGCUCGGGCAGCGUCUUGAAAAUGGGCACCGCUGGGAGGAGGUGGAUGACUUCUUUACAAAGGAAAAUGGUAGCAGCUUCAGUGAGAAACUGCCCUUACGAACAGUCCCUUCUCUGCUGUCAAUCCAAUACUGUUCCCAAAUCCUGUUUUCAGUGUUCAUUUCCCUCAAGGCAGGCGCUGGGCUCCCACAACCCCUCAGGACAGAUCUGGCCGUCAGCCGCGGGCCGCUGGGAACUCCACUCGGGGAACUCCUUUCCAAGCUGACCUCAGUUUUUCUCACAAGAACCCAGUUAGUUGAUGUUUUAUUGUAAUUGUCUUAAUUUGCUAAGAACAAGUAAUAAGUAAAUUUUUAAAAAGCCUUUCUGCUGGGUUGGAUUAG
rnacentral:sRNA from 1 species